rnacentral:rRNA from 1 species
UACGGAGGGGGCAAGCGUUGUUCGGAAUUAUUGGGCGUAAAGCGUAUGUAGGCGGCUAAGUAAGUCAGGCGUGCAAGCCCGUGGCUCAACCACGGAAUUGCGUUUGAAACUGUUUAGCAUGAGUGCAGGAGAGGAAAGCGGAAUUCCCAGUGUAGCGGUGAAAUGCAUUGAUAUUGGGAAGAACAUCUGUGGCGAAGGCGAUACUCUGGACACAUUCUGACGCUGAGGUACGAAGGCUAGGGGAGCGAAGAGG